rnacentral:lncRNA from 1 species
AGAUUUGCCUGUUCCCUCACCAGCAGCAGGCAUUUCGGGCUGUUCCUGAGAGCACAGGACAGUCAGUCACCAGAUGGCUUCUCGGGGCAGGAUCAAAAGAAAACUGUCCUCUGCUUAUAUGUCUCUUUAUCCUGUGGUCUCCAAAAGCUUGUGUUCCCUCCAAAUAGAGUUGGGGAAGGAGCAAAUGGUGAAGGAGAUGGCAAGUCAAGACAAGCCAGACAAGAGGCAUUAGGGUUCAGCCUGUUACCGUGAACUGCAAGCUUUCGGAGUAUACAGAGGACCCUUGUAGGGUUAGAGAGUCACAUUAAGCGCAGAUGUACUUUAUAACGGACUGACUCCAGCCCCGUUUGCCUUUUGGGGAACUUGGUAUAUUCCCUCCAUCAAGCCUUUCUCAUUGGCGGAUUUCUUCCAGUCCAUCCGGUUUCACACAAUCCCAGAACUACAUUCAUUUGCUAGGGCACUGGUACACGGGCAGAGGGUCAAGUGGUCGGGCGCGUGGACCAAGUUGAGCCUCCUGUGUUGGAAGCCCGGUGGGGAACACCUGGUAUCGUACCCCCUCUCAUCCAGAAAGGGAUCAACAUAGACUAAGCCCUCACAGUUGCAUCUGCGGUGUUGAACUGUAAAUGACAAGGACAGUUUGUGACUCCUCCGAAGGAAGCCAAGC